GAUGAACGCUGGCGGCGUGCUUAACACAUGCAAGUCGAACGGAAAGGCUCCUGCUUGCAGGGGUACUCGAGUGGCGAACGGGUGAGUAACACGUGGGUGAUCUGCCCUGCACUUCGGGAUAAGCCUGGGAAACUGGGUCUAAUACCGGAUAGGACGAUGGUUUGGAUGCCAUUGUGGAAAGUUGUUCGGUGUGGGAUGAGCUCGCGGCCUAUCAGCUCGUUAGUGGGGUAAUGGCCUACUAAGGCGUCGACGGGUAGCCGGCCCGUGAGGGUGUACGGCCUCCAUGGGACUAAGGUAGGGAGCAGUCUGGUACGGGACGCAGCGGUGGAGAGUAUGACACAACGAGGGCGAGCCUGAUGUGACGGCCCCGCGUGGGGAAUGACGGCCUUCGGGUUGUGAACUCCUGUCGCUGGAAACGAGGCGCAAGUGACGGUACCUGGUGAAGAAGCACCGGCUAACUACGUG
rnacentral:rRNA from 1 species